rnacentral:rRNA from 1 species
CCUACGGGAGGCAGCAGUGAGGAAUAUUGGUCAAUGGGCGAGAGCCUGAACCAGCCAAGUCGCGUGAGGGAAGACGGUCCUAUGGAUUGUAAACCUCUUUUGCCGGGGAGCAAAAAGCGGUACGUGUACCGCAUCGAGAGUACCCGGAGAAAAAGCAUCGGCUAACUCCGUGCCAGCAGCCGCGGUAAUACGGAGGAUGCGAGCGUUAUCCGGAUUUAUUGGGUUUAAAGGGUGCGCAGGCGGCGAGUUAAGUCAGCGGUAAAAUUUCGGGGCUCAACCCCGACAAGCCGUUGAAACUGGCUUGCUAGAGUGGGCGAGAAGUAUGCGGAAUGCGUGGUGUAGCGGUGAAAUGCAUAGAUAUCACGCAGAACUCCGAUUGCGAAGGCAGCAUACCGGCGCCCAACUGACGCUCAGGCACGAAAGCGUGGGUAUCGAACAGGAUUAGAUACCCCAGUAGUC